AGCAGCCGCGGUAAUUCCAGCUCCAAUAGCGUAUAUUAAAGUUGUUGCAGUUAAAAAGCUCGUAGUUGAAUUUCGGGGUUAGUAGGCUGGUCGUGCCACUGGUACGUACUGGUCUCACUGACUCCUCCUUCCUGAUGAACUGUAAUGCCAUUAAUUUGGUGUUGCGGGGAAACUGGACUGUUACUUUGAAAAAAUUAGAGUGUUUAAAGCAAGCUAACGCUUGAAUACAUUAGCAUGGGAUAAUGAAAUAGGACGUUCGAUCCUAUUUUGUUGGUUUCUAGGAUUGACGUAAUGAUUAAUAGGGAUAGUUGGGGGCAUUAGUAUUCAAUUGUCAGAGGUGAAAUUCUUGGAUUUAUUGAAGACUAACUACUGCGAAAGCAUUUGCCAAGGAUGUUUUCAUUAAUCAAGAACGAAAGUUAGGGGAUCGAAGACGAUCAGAUACCGUCGUAGUCUUAACCAUAAACUAUGCCGACUAGGGAUCGGAUGAUGUAAUUUUUAAUGACUCAUUCGGCGCCUUACG
rnacentral:rRNA from 1 species